rnacentral:lncRNA from 1 species
UUAUAUGCUAAUAAGAGCGAACAGAUGCACAAGGCUGAUAGAAAGGAGCCCAGCUCACGUAACCAAAAAAUUAUGAUUAAAUAAGGAAAGCAAAUAUAACCAGAACCGAAAAAUACUUCUCCCAAGGAAAGGGUAUCCACACUAAAAAAGAAACCCAUAAAAAAAAUAGAAUUUUCACACCAAAAGUUACUUUCCAUUUCUGUGAACAAAUUAAUACAUCAUACCGAAUUUCAAAUUGAUCGAGCUAAUCAAACAAAAAGAAAAUCGGAAGCAAACCAAGAACAGAGAUGAGAGAUAUUUGAUAAAUUCUCAUACAAAAAUUGACCAUAAAAAUAUAUCACCAAACUCCAAUCACCGUCAAAUUAUCACGCAAACAAAAGAGAAUGAAAACUUUCAAUAACACAACAUAACAACAUAUGGGUAACUGUAGAAUAUGUACACACAAAAUAGAUCUUGAACUGAUUUGUGAAGAACAAAAUCAGAUUCGAGUGGAUCAACUUCCAAAACCCCACCCCUACAAAUCUGAAAUCCCUUAAGCCAAUCCCAUACACCCCGGCCCCACUUCAAAUUAUAGCAGCUCCGAACUUUGCAAACAUAAAUCGGUAGUUAGAUUUUUGAGAGGUCGCCGGAAAAGCACAAAUAGAUUCAAGUAAUAAAGUGAAAGAAAUGAAAAUGAGUGAUGGUUUAAUUUGUUUAACUAUUUA